CCCUCUCGCUCGAUCUCGAGCUCGUCCGCCACUGACAUCGUCGCGCCACCGUCGUUGUCGCCCACCGCAUCCACCCGGAGCCGCGCCAAGGCGACCAGGGGCUCCACCACGGUCAUCUCCGUCGCUUGAGGCCGCCCGCUCGAGCCCAGCGCCUCCGCAUCAAGCUCGUCGACGCUGUCUUCAACCUCUGCCCCGCCGGACCUCGCCGCUCAAUUCGCCGCCUCCGGUGCUCCCCCGACCUCACUGACCUCCCCAGCCGUACCAAUGUGAGCCCCUACACCCAUUCCCGCUUUCCCACCGUCGAAUCCAUCGUCGUAGGCCGUUGAAUCACCGUGCCCCGAGCUUCGGGCGAGCUCGCGGCCGCCGCGCCCGUGGCCGCACUCUCGCGCGCCUCCGGCUUCCUGGCCUCGCCCCUGCGCUGGCGGCGCGUGCGCCGGCCGCAACCAGGACCUGCCCCCUCGCGCACGUCGCUCCCCGCCCGCGCGCCAGCUGCGCGUGCGCAUGCGCCCACGCCCGCGUGCCUGCUGCUGGCGAUGCUACUGCGUUCGGCUGCUCCUCACCGCUUGCUGCGCGCGCCGACUGCUUUGCUGCUGCUCGUGCCGCCGCUGAUGCUACUCCCUGCUACUGCUCCUAAUCCCUGCCGCUGCUUCUUCUUACUACUGCCACUGUCGCUAGUUGCUACUGCUACUCUGUUGCCGCUACUCUGCUGAAGUUAUGUUGCUGCUGUUGAUUGCUACUGUAGAUGCUACUAGCCAGCUUUUGUUUUUCUGCAAUGACUAACCCUCUAAACUGUCCCUAAUCAGUGGUUAAACAACUGUCAAAAAGGCUAAGAAAAAUAUGAGGAGAAUGUAUACUUGACAAACUUUAUUUUAUCCCACUGGACCAAAUCCUUUCGAUGCAUGGAUUAAAUCCUACACAAAUUAAAAAAUGCUAUCUUCUAUUAACAAAACAACAGAAUUGACUCCUAGCAUUGUGUGUUGCGUGCUUGUGUGUGUGUGGGGCCGGCUUGGCUAGGGCCCCCGGCCGUGUGUGGCCGGCCCUUGUGUCAAUUAGGACUAGUUUAGUUUAGGAUUAAAGGUAGUGCUAAGUUAGUCUAAUAGCCGGUGACACGUGGAUCUACAGUUAGUUUAAAUAAAAUCAGUUUUAUAAAAAAAUGUCUAAGUCAAUGAUGUAUGGGACCCUCCUGCACUGUUCACUUUUGACCAAGUCAACAUCAAUGUUGACUUUGACUGGCCCCACUUGUCAUACACCCUAGCUGAUUAUACUCUGUGUACCCAUGGCAAAUUCCAGUUUUUUUCGAAUUAAUAGAAUUUCAGAAAUUGUUUAAAACUUUAAUAAAUUAAUUUAAAAUAAUCCGUAGCUCGGAUGAAAAAGUUUUGUACAUGAAAGUUGCUCAGAACGACGAGACGAAUCGGAAUACGCGCUCCGUUCAUCCGCCACACAUCCCUAACAUAGUGAACAUGCAACUUUCCCCUCCGUUUCAUCUGUCCAAAAAAUGCCAAACUUCGGGAAAGCAUUCCCGUAUGUUCUUCCCCUACGCCGGUAUCGUGCAACACCAUGUUAGAUCACGUCUAGCUCUGCCUGUUGUCCUGUUAUGCACUUGCUUGCUAUGUAUUUAUUGUUUCUUUCCCCUCUUCUCUCCGGUAGACCCCGAGAACGAUGCUGAUGCCCUUGUGAUCGACUACGUCGACGACGACACUUCUUCCUUUUUCAACAGAGCUUCCAGGCAAGCAAACCCCCCUUGAGCAUUCCGAUAUCGCCCAUUUCUUUCCCUCUCAUGCUUGCAUUAGAAUUGCUACUGCUUUCUGUAUGAUCCUACUCUGAUGCAUAGCCUGUUUUUGUUACCUGCUUUCAUACCUUACCUGCUUAUUCUAAACUGCUUAGUAUAGGUUGGUUAGUGAUCCAUUGGUGACCCCCACCUUGUCCUAGUUGCCCCGCUUUAUGUUCGAUGACCCGAACAACGUGAUCGACGUCCAGGCCCUGACACCGCACAUCACUUUCCCCUUUUGUUGCUCGACUCUGCAGAGUUACCAUCGAGUGCCGAGUGUGGACCUCAUACAUCACUCCUGAUGAGAUCUCUGUAGUGUAGCUAUCAGGUCGUGGUCAUCGAGGGUGAUUUCCUCCUUAACCACUUCCGUUACGGCUCUGUCAUGCAACCCCUCAAGUGUGAACCUCGAGGGUGGAUCCUCUUACGUUCACCUUGAUGAUAACAUUGAGUGGAAUUCACCGGGGGCGAUUCCUCGGGUUUUCGCCUUGGUGUUAGACACACAGUUACUAUGGUUACUAUGACUUUGCACUGAGCCAUGUUACUAAAGACGGGUCGGCCCUGAGGGGUACCCGCGCGAGCUUAAUAGCGAGUGAUAUGGAGUCGGGUUGACUUGGAAGGUGCCCGCGAGAUACUUACGAGGCGUGGCCGGGCAUUCUUAGCCCUUGCCGCAAGUACUCGAGACGAGGUGACGGGGUCACAUCGAUCGUGAGUCUCUGCUCGUUACCGCGUGCUCCUAAUCCACUACGGUUUGGAUAUUCGAUCCGAGGAGCCUCUGGCCUAAUAGUACUAACCAUCACGUGGGCAUACUAUGGGCGUUCUGCGUCGUAUACAUCAGCCGAAGCUUAAUAGACAUCAGCGACUGAGUGGUGCGCGCCGGGUUGGACUGGUAAGCACUUGCCUUUUUGAAGGAGGUAGCUAGGUCUACUGACCAGCCGCGUACGCAACGUGCAGGAGUUCCCGUGGAGAUGGCCCAUGACCCCUGGGGGCAUAGGUUUAGUCCGGCGUGCUGGCCUCUCUAUUAAGCCUAGGUCGGGUUGCGGCGUAUUGUUUGGCCGAGGCCGAGCAUGACCCAGGAAAGUCUGUCCGGCUGGAAUUAAUCGAGCAUGGUGGGUAAGUUGGUGCACCCCUGCAGGGAAGAAAACAUCUAUCGAUAGCCUGUCCUAUGGUAAUGGACACUUGGAGUUGUAUCCCGAUCGAUACAACUAGAACUGGAUACUUAUGAUGAGAAAAGAAUUGUGCAUGAGAAAAGAAUUGUGCAUGAGAAAUGAAUUGUGGAUGAGAAAUGGAUAGUAUGGCUCUGGGAUUGCUUUCUCGCAGGGAGUCGAGAAAGGAUCUCUGGUCGAGGUUGAUAACACUACUGGUACUUUACUUUAUGCUACUCUACUCCUUCCUGUUGCUGCAAGAUGGUGGUUUCCAGAAGAUGCUAGUCCUCGAUAGGACUAAUCCUUUCCUCUAUUCUGGCAUUCUCUAGUUUACUCCACAUAUACAUCCCAUUUUCUUUGAUACAGAUGCAUACUUAGUUUAGAUCUAAUGUAAGUCUUGCGAGUACUUUGGAUGAGUACUCACGGCUGCUUUGCUACCUCUUUUCCCCCAUACCCGAUUGUUGCGACCAGAUGACGGAUCCCAGGAGCCAGACAACACCACUGAUGAUUACUACUACCCCGAGGGUGCCUACUACAACGUGACGGCCACUGACGACUUGGAGUAGUUAGGAGGCUCCCAGGCAGGAGGCCUUGCCUUUUCGAUCGUUGAUGCUUUUGUGCUAGCCUUCUUAAGGCAAACUUGUUUAACUCAUGUCUAUACUCAGAUAUUUUUGCUUCUGCUUACUCUUGUGUAUUCAAGCUUAUGUAUUCGAGCCCUCGAGGCCCCUGGCUUGUAAUAUAAAGCUUGUAUUAUUUUAAUUUGUGUCUAGAGUUGUGUUGUGAUAUCUUCCCGUGAGUCCUUGAUCUUAAUCGUACACAUUUGCGUGUAUGAUUAGUGUACGGUUGAAUCGAGGGCGUCACAAGUUGGUAUCAGAACAGACUGCCUGUAGGAACCCCCCUUUCCAACUCCUUGGCCGAAGUUGAG
rnacentral:lncRNA from 1 species